ensembl:snoRNA SNORA71 Small nucleolar RNA SNORA71
CCCUGCAUUCGGAAGUGAUCGUGGGCUGCCCGUGCCCUGGUCACUGGUAGUGCCGGUUUCCCCGUGUUUGGAGGGCUCACUCCUGUCCCUUCCCAACUCUGGAUCUGUCCCACA